GAAGUCCAGGGAUUUCACCGAGCCUCAGACUUGACCCCACCAGCCAGAAAGCCCCCGCCGCAGAGAUCGCCCAGUGAGGAUGUUUCGGCUCCCUAAAUCUCCCGGACAGCCAAGCACAGGCUUUGGGAACUCGGCAGAGCUGGUGCGGGACACCGGGAGCCUGGAUUGGAUAUAGAAACUCUGCAUCCAGGUCUGCAGAGGUCCUGUUGUGGCGAGAAGACGGGGGAACCAGCCUUUGAAAGCAAGACCAUCUUCAGAACGAUUAAACAAAAAGAAAAAAAACGCAGCAGCCUUUUUCCCUGGGUGGAUAACGCAAAACCCAAGAGACUAAAUGAAAACAGGGAGUGCAAAGCCCCACCGAGACGGGUCACGGCAGAGGGGAAGGAGGUAACAGCAUCUCCGACCCUCCUUCCCGCGGGGACGUGGGACCCUGGAGCGUCUCCCUGCUCGGGGUCCUACCAGGCGGUGCCGGCCCCAGCGCGGCAGUGGAAGAGCUCGGCACGGCCACGGUGCCGCUGGGCAGGGAGCAGGGCAGGGGAGCUGCCUGCCCUCUCUGCGGGCUCUACGUAAGGUGUCCUUCAAGGGCUAGUUCCAAACCAGUGAAAACCAGGGACAAAUCAGUUCUCAUUUCCACUGCCACAUUUACACGAUCUUUUUUAGCUGCCGUUGAAAGUGUUUCUAUGAUCGCUGCCUGAAUUAAGCCAGAGGUCUCUUGGAUCCGUCCACUUUUGUUUCGUUUUGGGCAUGUUUUUGGCAGGGCACCAUCAUUUCACAAGAAAAAAAAUAUGCUUUUCUGUUAGAGCCAAGGCGGUGGGCACAGCGUAAUGACACGUGAUGCUCCAGUCCCGUAAAAAAAAAAAAAAAAAAAAAAAAAAAAGGAGCUCUGGUCCCUGAACCAGCAGGCACUCGGGCACGCUGCACCGCUCAUCUCAUGUCACGACAGUCACGGGGACACAUGCAGGUUCUGUGAGCCUUGCUCCAGUUAGGAGUUACUCAGUGGGUGUAGCGGGGAUGAGGGUUUAGUUAUCGCUACCUAUGGGAUUAAAGGGGGGGACUCAGCAUUCUCAUUCCAUGGUCACUGUGAUCCAAAACCCACCCAGAGCCUGGUACAGCCCUCGUGCAGGUAGUUGUACCCCCGUGAUUUCACCCGGGCUGGUCGUUCCCCGCGGGAGGACAGUCCCCGGCAUGAGCCCAUCAGUAUCUCAAUGCUCCCCCCUUCAGGGUCCUGUGGUUUGCCACUGGUUACCACCACCAUCCCCAACGUAUCCGAGAAAGGAGCCACAGAGAGAAAAAAUCUCUCCAUUUUUGUCAAAUUUUGCUUUUUCCAUUGAUUUUUUUCCUUUUUUCUGCCCAGUGCAGUGGGGUUUUUGUGGGCGCCCCUCCCCAGCUCAGGCACUCCCCUGUACCAGGCUCUGCUGAGCAGCGCUCACAGGUCACA